UCAAGCGACUAAGCGUAUACGGUGGAUGCCUUGGCAGUCAGAGGCGAUGAAGGACGUGGCAGCCUGCGAAAAGUGUCGGGGAGCUGGCAACAAGCUUUGAUCCGGCAAUGUCCGAAUGGGGAAACCCACCGCUCAGGCGGUAUCGUGCAGUGAAUACAUAGCUGUACGAAGCGAACCCGGGGAACUGAAAUAUCUAAGUACCCGGAGGAAAAGAAAUCAACCGAGAUUCCGUCAGUAGCGACGAGCGAACGCGGACUAGCCCAAAAGUGUCGUACAUUCUAGUCGAACAGCGUGGAAAAGCUGGCCGUAGACGGUGAUAGCCCGGUAGACGAAAGGGUGCAUGGCAUGAAAUUGAGUAAGGCGGGGCACGUGAAACCCUGUCUGAACAUGGGGGGACCAUCCUCCAAGGCUAAAUACUCCUGACUGACCGAUAGCGAACUAGUACCGUGAGGGAAAGGCGAAAAGAACCCCGGGAGGGGAGUGAAAUAGAUCCUGAAACCGCAUGCUUACAAAAAGUAGGAGCCCGCAAGGGUGACUGCGUACCUUUUGUAUAAUGGGUCAGCGACUUACUGUCAGUGGCAAGCUUAACCGUAUAGGGGAGGCGAAGGGAAACCGAGUCUGAAUAGGGCGAAUAGUCUCUGGCAGUAGACCCGAAACCGAGUGAUCUAUCCUUGACCAGGUUGAAGGUGCGGUAACACGCACUGGAGGACCGAACCCACAUCUGUUGCAAUAGAUGGGGAUGAGUUGAGGAUCGGAGUGAAAGGCUAAACAAACUCGGAGAUAGCUGGUUCUCCUCGAAAGCUAUUUAGGUAGCGCCUCGUGCGAACACUGUUGGGGGUAGAGCACUGUUAUGGCUAGGGGGUCAUUGAGACUUACCAAACCAUGGCAAACUCCGAAUACCAACACGUGCUACACGGGAGACACACGGCGGGUGCUAACGUCCGUCGUGAAAAGGGAAACAACCCAGACCCGCAGCUAAGGUCCCAAAGUCAUAGCUAAGUGGAAAACGAUGUGGAAAGGCAUAGACAGCCAGGAGGUUGGCUUAGAAGCAGCCACCCUUUAAAGAAAGCGUAAUAGCUCACUGGUCGAGUCGGUCUGCGCGGAAGAUUUAACGGGGCUAAGCUAUGCACCGAAGCUCGGGGUGUACGGAUUUUGAUCCGUACGCGGUAGAGGAGCGUUCCGUAGGCCUGUGAAGGUGGAUUGUAAAGUCUGCUGGAGGUAUCGGAAGUGCGAAUGCUGACAUGAGUAACGAUAAGGGGGGUGAAAAGCCUCCCCGCCGAAAGCCCAAGGUUUCCUCGCGCAACGUUCAUCGGCGCAGGGUGAGUCGGCCCCUAAGGCGAGGCAGAAAUGCGUAGUCGAUGGGAAGCAGGUUAAUAUUCCUGCACUUUUCUACAGUGCGAUGUGGGGACGGAGAAGGUUAGGUCUACCAGGCGUUGGUUGUCCUGGGGAAAGGCGGUAGGCAUGGUUCUUAGGCAAAUCCGGGAACCUUUAUGCCGAGCACCGAGACGAGUCCUAUGAGGACGAAGUGACUGACACCACGCUUCCAGGAAAAGCCACUAAGCUUCAGCUGUAGAAAAACCGUACCGUAAACCGACACUGGUAGGCAGGGUGAGAAUCCCAAGGCGCUUGAGAGAACUCGGGUGAAGGAACUAGGCAAAAUGGCACCGUAACUUCGGGAGAAGGUGCGCCUCUUGGUGUGGUCACGUGCGUGACUGAGCAUCGAGGGGUCGCAGUAACCUGGCCGCUGCGACUGUUUAUCAAAAACACAGCACUCUGCAAACACGAAAGUGGACGUAUAGGGUGUGACGCCUGCCCGGUGCUGGAAGGUUAAUUGAUGGGGUCAGCCGCAAGGCGAAGCUCUUGAUCGAAGCCCCAGUAAACGGCGGCCGUAACUAUAACGGUCCUAAGGUAGCGAAAUUCCUUGUCGGGUAAGUUCCGACCUGCACGAAUGGCGUAACGA
rnacentral:rRNA from 1 species